rnacentral:tmRNA from 1 species
GGGGCUGAUCGGUUUCGACUUGGGACGUUAGUUCCAGGGGAAGCGGGUCGAGGAGCCAGCGUUAUCUCGUUAACGAUCGCUGGAAACCAAUAACUGCCAACGCUAAGCGCAGUUCCUUCGCUCUCGCCGCCUGACGCGGUGAUCGAAGCGUCAGUCAGGGCAUCCGUCUCCGUCCCUGGUCCUGGCGUCAUCCAGGAGACUCACCCUCCCUCCCUCGCUAGUGGGGUUCGAGGGGACAGCUAGCUAGCUGGGCCUGUCGGCGACGUGUCUGUGUCGAGCGCCGGGGCCGAGAAAACGACACCCACAGACUGCACCCGGAGAAGACCUGGAUCGACGCUCGAGGACCGGGGUUCGAUUCCCCGCAGCUCCACUC